CAGCUUGUAGUUUAAUAAAAAUAUUAGUUUUGGGGAUUAAUGUUCUCUUUUUAGAGUGUGCUGA
rnacentral:tRNA from 1 species